UCCUUUGCACGUCACUGACAGAAUAGAACACCAAUUUUUGGUAUAUUUAAUGAGAAAAAUAUUAGAGACUUGUGCCCAGAACAAGUUGAUCUAUGGACUUGUGGUAGGUAAACUUUUGUAGAACUGGAUAUGCUGCGAUCAACGAUGCCAAAGGUUUUUGUUUAAUAUUUGACAUUGACGUUCGAAUUUUUUGUUGGCAGUUCUCACCUUUCGUUAUUCAUUAUCGGUAGUCGCUUUCAACAGAAUUGUGGUGUGUCUGAAGUGCUUUUAGUCGAAAUGCAUAACCAUUUACAUAGUAAAGCUAAGGAAUGGGAGGCUAGUUUCAUCCAUUAUUUUGAAAUGGACUAUGAAGAUUGUGAUCCUUUAUUUCCAUUGGGAAGAUAGAGGAGUGUAUCCUUAUAUAAAAGCAACUUUGUUCAUAUUUUUAUUUUAGCGUUCGUAGACGUUACCAUAGUAUAAUCCUUCAUCACUAGAUACUCAACUCCUUUUGGAAAUACAUACCGAUUUUUUCAGCGUAGCAUUUACGUAUAUGCGUUGUGGUAAUGUCCCAACAACAACUUUUGGUAUCUGAAAAAACCGUAUAUUCGUUCAAAGGGUUCCCUCCUACUGCAUAAAUUUGUUGUUACUAUUUGCCUUAUAACGUGAACUGUUGUUUGGAGAAAACAAAAUGAAACGUGGGUAGAUUUGUUCGUCGUUGGACUCCUUAUCUGUCGCAUUCCUCCAAAUCCCACCCAGAUUUACGCAGGCUCACCAAUAAAGCUCUAACGAGCCUCCGUACGUACAGAGAAUUUUAUAGGGUAGAAAAAAUGCACAAUCUAAAUUAUAUAGAUACGGAAUUAUAAUCUUGUGUGUGUGAAUUUUUGUUUAUGCAUUGUAAGGAAAUCAAUUAUUUCAUUUAUGUAUAACCCGGUUUUUUAUUUAACCGUAAGACACGUUGAUACAGUCACCCGCAGACUGGUAUCUCGGAUACAUCUGUAACAUUGCGUCUUAUGGAGCCGUUCACACACGCAUACUUCUCGCAUACAGUACCGGCGACUAAAUUUCGGUUUCCCGCUAGGUCCAGUCGCCCGGAGAUUUUACGACUUUAGGGAACUGAUGGGCUAUUGGUUCAUAUGGAACUCUUUACAGGAGGAUACCUUUUCAUUAGCAACCGGUCAGUGCUGUUCGUCACCUCCGCCCGAAGAAACAAAAUAGUCAUAAAAUGGAGCGCACCUUUGAUGUAUUGUAUAGUAAAAUGGCUUCUGCAACGUCAAUUUUAUCAGGUGUGGUGUGACUUUACAGAAACCCGCCCGCCACUGCACUGAAAAUCGAAGUACCUCACUGCGUAAGGCUGGAAUUCUGAUGACAAAGAUACAGUAUUUCGCAUACAGUACCACCGUGUAAAAGAGCUCUAAGGAAGCUAAAAGAUGCAAAUAGAGUAAAUAAAUAAAUACUGCACUAUGUGUGCAUAUUUAGGGUGAGAUAAAUGAAUCAGAUCAUUGUAAUAAGGUAAGAACAAAGAGAUCCGAGUUAAAUACGUCUAUCGCAACCCAAAGUUAAAUGACAAAUAAUGAGACAGGAGGCUUUAAGCGGCGUUACAUGGGGCGAACCUGCGCCGCGUUGUCGCAAAGCGCGAGGUGCAAUUUUAAGUCAAUCAGUCCUCUGAAUGGAUCCCGAAGACUGAAAUUAAUCCAAUAGCGAAAAUCAUAUCGAUCGAGCCACCGUCAUGCUGCGGACGAAGGUUUUCGCAGCAUUUCGAAGAAAGAAAACAAGAAGCUUGAACAUAUCCACGGCGUACCAGGAUGCCAGAAGCGGCGUAGGUAGGUGCGGAUAGCGCCGAUCCUGACGAACGGAGUUAGGUCAGAGCCGGGACGUGAUGACAUGCGGUGGCGACGUCUUGAGCCAAAGCGACCAGCCUCAGUUGCUUAUGUAGGGAAGGUAGGCUUGCCCAGGCACAAGUGGUUUUUGCUGGCCCUUGGUGGUGCUUAUUAACAAUUCGUCGAGGCGUCCGGCGUUGCGGCGAAUGGGGCGUUUGCUGGUAGUGGGGUCCUUCCCUGGCGUUCCUAACAACGGCGGGAAGUCUAUAGUCGGUCCGUGCAUAGUACAGCUGGAUGCAAGAUAACUCUCCUUGUGAGUGAAAGCCGUGACCCGAACUCGUCUAGAACUGGUGGUGCACAAACGAUAAAGCAAGAACAUACCUUAAAGAAAAUAAGAACCGUUUCAUAAUUUAAUAAAGAUUAUUGACUUAUUAUUUAUCCCUUUACCUUUUUCCUUAAGAGGCCAGGAGAGAAUUACUAACUGAUAGCUAUCGGGCGCACAUUAUACAUAAUUCCAUAACAAGAACCACCCGUAAUUUAAUUAAGGUAUGCGAAGAUUAGCCAGAGGUAGGAUGGAGUAGAAGAGGUAUUUGUAACAUCCGUUACAAAAUGACACCCAAAAACGGGGCUUACGUAUUAGAGUGUUCUGGAGAAGCGAUGAAAAUAACGGGAAGGACACACAAACAGGAAUUGAUGCUUCACUUGACCUUCACUGUGGAAUACUGUUUGUUGAAAUCUAAGAACCUCGUGCGUUGCCGGAUGUUUCUACUAUCGUUCUGUAUUUUAGUUCAAAAAGGUAUUUGGGCAUUUGCUUUUAUGCUUUCAGAGAAAUGUAUGUAUCUGUGCCACUAAAUUACAUUCCCAACAGUUUCUUUUUGAAUCAAACAGCAUAGAUAAAAAAGGUUUUGUAUAAUAUAAAAAAUCUAUAAAAGUAUAAUCAGCAUUGUUACAGACUCGCUUCAGAAGCUUCUUGCGAUACGACCGAUGUCUGAGACUGAUUAGGGCAACUGCUUUUCCUUCUGCACACCCGCUUCCUCUUCCUUGAACAACUUCGUCUGCGCAUCCUUCUUUUUCUUCGUUUGCAAGUACGCCUCUUUAUUUUCCGUUUGCAUUUGCGUCGUCUCUUCUGUAACUUACAUCUGAGCUUUCUUCUGCCAGUCUUGCACCUAGUUCGAAAAGGUUUAGCAGCCCUUCCGGCUUGUAUAGCUCUGCACUGGUACUUUCUUCUUUGACAGGCACUCAUAUUACACCAUCUCCGAGCGCCCUCCAAUGUUAACUUACAAGAUAGCCACGUAGGGUAUUUCUGACGCAGCUCUUUUAAAAAAUUUAAAAAAGGAUUUUUUGAAAAGCGGGAGUUUUUUCGUCUUUUACAGAUUAUAUUUGUGCCCCUCUUUCUACAUCUACGUUUGCAUGCCAUAAUUUCGAAAUAAAACUCGCGGAAAAGUCAAACUAAAAUUUUGAAGUUAGCAAAACAAUUUUGUUUCAUAAGUUAGUAACGCCCAGACGAUUACGUAGUUUCACAAAUUUCCCAUGCAAGUUACAAAGUCUGUCCAUGGUUACCACUUUAUUUACCAAGGAUACGUAGCAUGUCCGGAGAAAUACAGACAUUUACACGUCGAUAUUUCAGAAAGAAGAGAAAUGUGCAAGAAUUCGAAAUCUGAAAUAAAAUGGACAACUUGGGGUUCACGAUUUCCAAGCAAGGUAUAGGCAUUUUCGGGUUUCAAAACACCCAUUUUUUUAAUACUAGUGCUUUUGAUUACUUAAAAGGAGCGCAGUUCUAGGGUGUACUCAAGCAAUAAAUGGCUUGAGUAAUAAACUAAUAAUUACAUAUUACAAGAGAGAAAAUUUUGAAGACAAAAAUGACAUGAAAGCCUGUUGCUUGGCAAAUUCGCAAAUGACAUUUGUAAAAUGAAUGCCAUCACGAUACACUUACACACGGUAUGCUCAUUAUUUUUCUCAAACGCGUUUUCUACUGCGCAUUACGUCACCUGCGAACGUGUGGCGCCAAAAUUCAAGUGUUUACGCACGGAAAAAUCCAGUACAGAUGUCACGCGUGACAGUUUGCACCUUUUCAGUUGUAUUUACGAGUUUUAUAGCGUUAAUUUGUUGAUAGCUAAGCAUUAAUGUGUUGAUAGCUAAGUAAUCAUUAGUGAAAAUUCCAAAAUGCCAGGUUGUGUGUGGAAAUAAAAUAGGUACUUUCGAUUUCCGAAAAUUGAAGACUUUUCUCUAAAAUGGAUUGUUGCAAGUCGUCGUAAGGACAAAAUUACCUUGAAAAAUGGUGUUACAUUAUUAUUAAGUGGUGUGUUUAAGUCUUUCCAUUGCUGUUUAAUCCUAUAUCCUGUAUUUGUUAUGAACAUUUUGAAGCCAGCCGUUUUGAAGCACCGCUAAGGGAACGACUUCUUAAUUAGACCUACUUUUAAAAACAGCGGAUGUUUGAAACCUGAUGCUUUACCUACUUUAAAACUACCGCGUAAUAAUGAAAAUCAAAAUAAAAGGGACACGGAGGAGAGAUUAGAUCUUUUGAUAACGCAUUAAUUAUAUAAUUUUUACUGAAACAGCCGCAUUUCAUGUUUAGGAUCAAUUUUGGUUAGAGUUUAUUUCACACGAUCACGAAAUCCCAGAAAUAACUUACGCGAGGAUCUCUACACAAAUCAGUAUGAUUUGUCAACUAACCUUGUGAUUUGUCGAUCUAGCAUCGUAAUUUUGCUCUAUAUUCUGUGGUUUUGUUCGCACGUGACGUCACGCUAGAUG